UUUUUAACCCAGCCACUAGCAUUGACACUUUGUCGUGUUCGUGCCGGUCCCAAGCCCGGAGAAAAUGGGGAGGUUUUU
rnacentral:ribozyme from 2 species